CUUCACUCUGAUUGAUGGUUGAUUGACGACUUACUAUGUAGCAGAUAUCUCCAACCGAAUCAACAGAGCUAGCAAAGCUUCUUUACUAUAUGGUAUCUCGCACGAAUCAAGACAAUUACAAUAAUGAUGUUUGCUCAACAUCUUUCGGACUUGGGUAGUUAAGUUGCUACCACCAUCCAUCGGACUAAGUUAUUGACGACUGCAUGCAGGAUGGAACUGAUCGGUGAUCGUUGAUUAAGAAAAGUGGCGAGAUUGAUCUUCAUCACUUCAACUGACAAGUGCCCAGAAAGGUACAUGUUGCA